AUAUGGAUUCAGGUUAGCUUCCGCUCAUGUAGUUUAUGUAUCCGAAUUAUUCGAAAUGAAGGUUGUUAUGUUUAGUAGGAAUCAUAAUUUCUAACAAUAACUACUACUGACUUACUUCUCUAAUGAGUUUUCGAAAUACAUGGUAGGAAAUCAACUGAAACUAGCCCAAAUUGUUCGACUUAUCUAACGUGAGCUUGAUUACACCUAAUGUUCAUAUUAAAAGUCAUAUACAUUUGAGAUAUAGCUAUUCACAGUUCAAAACCACUCAAAAUGAUUUACAAUUCAUUUACACAACUCAGAUCAAGAUAAUAACUGAACAUGCUAUAUCAACCUAAUGCUAAAUAUUCAAAAGUCUUCAACAACUCAAACUAUAUUGAUUAUGCUGAACUAUUGAAAUGCAGCAGAUAAACAAAAUAUACUGUAGAGCAAAUUUCAACUUCAUUUCAUAUUUUGAUUGGGAGUUUACACAAUAAUUGCCUCAAAGAGUGUACCUGGAGAUUUGAAAUGACAAAGGAGAAGAGAGAGGUCAGCAAUAAGGCUGUAAUGAGCAGCAUCAAUGAACAACAGUGUUGAACAAAUAGGAAGCAAAUGACCAAAAUGCAUCCCAGAAUGGAAUUUAACAAUCAGUGAGUGUUUGAAGUUGAACAGGACUAACAAUUCAAUCCAAAAUCAACUUGAACAAGCGUCAACGACCUCAAAAUGACCCCAGGCCUUUUUAUAAUCAUAAUGAACCAGAAUUCAACUUAAACAAACAAAUUUCAAAUUCAAAUUCCAUCCAGAAACUUUAAAGCACCUCAAUUACUAAGAAAACUAGCAAGUAACCUAAUGUAACAAUGAUUUUUUGUGAUUUUCGAUUGCUUUUGUUGAACUUCUUUUUUUUUGGUUUUUUGGGAGAUUUUCUAUUAUUUUUUAUGUUUUGGAGUUUGAAUUUGAGAUCUUAGAUCUGAAAGUUUGGGUAAAUUUUUGGGUUCCCAAAACUUGUGUGUCAAGGCAUUAGUGAUGCCUUUUUAUAAGCCAAAAAGAGGGCAACCCUCAAAUCUUUCAUUUGCACUAUAAGUACCUAAUUUAGUCCCUCAGCUUCUAACUUAUUCCUCAAGUCACUAUCCUUAGAAGUACUAAAAUCUGAAUUCAACUCUAUUCUAGAAAGAUCUAGGAAAUACUAGCUAAAUCCACAACAUUUCAUCCAACUCCAAUUACCUAAACUACCCUGAAUUCAACUUAAAAUUACUGACCUCAGUUAACUAAACCAAACUAGACUAACUCUUCACAUUAAUAUUUAACUAAGGACUAUAGUUAAUCAAUAAUUCAAUCAAAGACAUACCAACCAAUUGCUACAUCUUAACACAAAUCAACCUGAACUUAUCAUCACCUAAUCAUUCAGAAGUGUUUAAACAAGAAAUUAAAAGUUCAUGGUAACCAGCCAGAAUCAAUAGAGCUAAUCAGACAUCAAUUACUGAACUACGAAUUAAUCUAAACCUAUAUUCUAAUAGAAUAGAGAACAAUUAUAUUGAGGCUAAACUAAAUUAAAAAUCAAAAUCACACAAAAGCAUACAACACUUAACUACUAAUGAAAAACAAAGAUCAAACUACUGAUGAUUGAGAUUUAAAGAAAACAAAAACUAAAAAAAAAUAAUGAACAUAAACAAACUCACUGAAUUAAUUUUAAGUUUGACACUCAAUUGUCUUCAAAGAGGUUCGAGGUGCAAUGAAGUCGAAUUCCUCAUGAAAGAAACAAGAAAACUACGGUGUGCUAAUUUGAAACCAAUGAACGAAUUGUGGUUUUGACUGAUUUUUGGGCUUUGAAAAUUCGAAGUGUUCAGUCACAAUUUGAGGCAGAUUAUUGAUGGAUUUGUGAUGAGGAGGUGAAGGAGGUUUGGUGGUGUAAAGUUAGGCCAGUUUGGGCGAUGUCACUACCAUGGAUGACGGAGACGAUGACACUUCUUUCAGUUAUUCGACGACCUCCAGCGGGAUUCGAAAGAAGAUAGUAGCAGAUUCAUGUCGGGGACAAUUGGGCGGUCUAAAUGUGUGACUUUGAGAGCCAUCGGAGAUGGUGGCAUUUUCUCCGGCGGCGAUGGAGACGGCGGCGUUACAGAGGGGUACGAGGAAGAAAGGCUGGUCUUUAGGGUUAGAGAGAAUUUCAGACUGUCUUAUUUUAAUUCAUAUCCCAUCAUGGGCCGUUGGAUAAAAGCAAUGGGCGGUCAAGAUUCAAGGACGCGGA
rnacentral:lncRNA from 1 species